AGAGCCGCCUUGAUGUGUAUGUAAAGCUCAAUCUAGCAGGAACUCCAGGAAAAAAUUUUAUACAUUAAAUUCAGAAGUGGCAUACUUCAGGCUUAUGAUUGGGGAAGUCCAUCUCUGAAUAUGCAACACCACAAUCAGACUACUCCCCCUGUAUACAAUGUGGAAGACAUGAAGGUUCCAACUACCAUGUUUACUGGUUUAAAAAAUGUUGUGUCUGACCCAGAAAAUGUUGAAAUUUUGAAACCCAAAAUCCACAACCUCAUAUACUUUAAGACUAUUCCUGAUUAUAGCCAUUUGAUUUUAUAUUGGGAUUAAAUGCUAUAGAAGAGGUUUCUGAGGAAAUUUUAACAAUUCUUAAGAAAUAUGAUGGUGAUGUUCAUUUUUAGCUUUUUGAAUGAUUUUAAACGUUUUUGAAAGUCUCUUGUUCUUAUAAGUGUGAAUAUUUUCUUGCUUGGCAUUUUUAUCUCCUUACUUAUUUUUGAAUUUUUUGAGCAACUGUUUCAUUUGUUGAAUCAUUUAUUUUAGUGAAAACUAUCACCAUAAAGAGAAUGUAUCAUCUUGUGACUGUUUUUUAAUUAAUCUAAAUAUAUUUUUGACAUGAUUAUUCCUGAAGAAAAGACCUUUUAAUUUGCAGCAAUGAAAUCCUAAAAUACUGAUAAAGGAAGAGGCCUGGCCCACACUGUGCUAUCAGACAUGAUGCUGUCUGAAGAACAGAUUAUAACACAUUUCAUAAAUUAGAACCCAGUCUCAAGAAGAACAGUCAAUCUUGUUGCUUUGAUUCCUCAAGUCUUAGUCACUAGUCUCAUUGCAAACCUCCCUGUCACAACAUCUGUGUGGACCAGGCACUGUUUGAGUAAGUCACUUAUGUCAGUGUUCUCUGGCUUGAGAGAAGAAUAAUUAUGUAAAAUGAUCUGAUUUAUUAAAAAUAAAUAACAGGAUUGAUCAUUCAUUGAAGCCCUUGAAUAAUAUGGUAUUUUGAAUUCUCCUUGCAACACAAAUUGAACACAAAUUCAAACACACAAUUUUAAUUUUAUUACUAAAUUUUAACUUAUUUAGAUGUUUAAAGCAACAAGUAAUAAUUAUGUGCACAGUUUGGACAAUAUAAAGAGUAACCAUGGCCAGUCUCAAAUAUAUUUUUACAAUAUUUUACAUGAUCAAAAAGAUAUACGUGUGUGAUUGCAGGUGUCAACAUGUACACGUGUGUUAUGUUCCUUCUAUUUCAAGGUUUUUUGUUUUGUUU
rnacentral:lncRNA from 1 species